CUUCUUUUCUUUGGGAAAGUCCACAUUGCAGAGCAUCUGUCAAAGCCAAAGCCUCAAUCAAAGGCAUGGCUUUUGUUUCUUCCCUUCUUUGGUCAUAAGGCCAGUUUUCCAUGUGCCCAGGACAGAAAUACACUGAUGAAAUCCACUGCCCUAUCUCAGCAUGCAGCAGGGCUUGACUCAACAAAGGGUAGCAGGAGAAAACAAACAAAAGGAAAUGAAACUUCAAAUAUGCCCCUGUCAGAGGCACGGGGCUGGGAAAGUAAACCCAUAGAUAGGCCUGGCUAUACUCAUGCUGCUGUGGAUGAUAAUAUGAGCUUUUCAAUGGAGGUCCAUUAGUGAGAAGGGGAAGGAGACAGUGUGGAACUGUAGAAGUAAUGGGCUUAGGAGCCAGAGAGAGGGUUUCCUGUUCUCGGAUUCGGGCCUCAAGCUCUUCAGCAGCAGAACCUCCUUUCGAUCGUUCCAUGGUGUCUACGUAGGACUUGGUGGAAUCCAUUGAUACUAACACCAAUGCCUUUAGGAUUACUAUGACAGUUCACCAUCAUAAAAACCAUGAGGAAAUAGCAAGAAUGAUUCAUAUGGUCCUGGGAACCAGGAAAACUGGUCACCCUGGAGGUGACACUGAAGUGACAGAAUGUCACUUACUAGUUGAAAAAACACCACUGGACUGAUAACCUUCGAAGGAACAGGACUGUGUGGGUAGCGGUAGAAGACUCCAGGUGUACAGCAGAUUCAGAGGUGCAAGACUGCUUGAGAUUUUUUCUCCAGAGUUAUGGAAAGAAAGGGCAAAGCUAAGUGAAAGGCAGUAACCUAUGGCUUAAGCUUAAGGCAAAACCAAUGGGAAAUUAUUUUUGAAAAUAAUGGAGAAGCUUACGUUAUGUCAAGUGGAAAAGAACAACCAGAUAAAAGAAACCAAAUAGUUCUUAAAGUUCUUUAUAUCAGGGUACAGUUGUGAAGAUAGGGUAGAUUGACUCUAAAGUUUUUCAUAUUUUCAGAAUGAGAAACUA